UACAGGGGGGGCAAGCGUUUGUUCGGAAUUACUGGGCGUAAAGGGCUCGUAGGUGGCCAACUAAGUCAGACGUGAAAUCCCUCGGCUUAACCGGGGAACUGCGUCUGAUACUGGAUGGCUUGAGAUUGGGAGAGGGAUGCGGAAUUCCAGGUGUAGCGGUGAAAUGCGUAGAUAUCUGGAGGAACACCGGUGGCGAAGGCGGCAUCCUGGACCAACACUGACGCUGAGGAGCGAAAGCCAGGGGAGCAAACGGG
rnacentral:rRNA from 1 species